GCUAAGCUUAGCAAUGCAAGCUUGUAACCCAGGUAGGGGCUUUAAGGUGUUGGAACAUUGGCCCAAUAUAGUGGGUCGGUUUGGAGUGGCUCUAUUCUGACCUGCCCAUUCCAAGCCAGAAGUUGGGCCAUGUGGCUUGGGCGAAGGCUCUGGGCUUCAUGGUUCCUAGAGUGGAGGGAAUUGCGUAAGGCUGGCUUCACAGAGCAACGAUCACCUCCCGCUCCGGGCAGUGGAAGGAUAAUGGGUCGGUGCCACCCUGAAACGCUCUAGCCCGCUAGAUUGUCCUCGACUGAACCAAAACCUUU
rfam:Prunus persica cultivar Lovell chromosome G6, whole genome shotgun sequence.